CCUCUUUAUUGCACUAUAUAAUUAAUUAUAUAAUAAACAAUGAGAAUUGGAACUUUUCUUACUACUACCUAUUAAAUUGGAUGGAAAAGUUCAGCUCAUUUUUUAAUCAUUCCCCAAACAACAUUAGGGGAGAAAUAUAUGCUAUGUAAAUGACAUGUAAUAGAUGACAUAGGUGGGAUGCCUAGGAGUCCUAUGCCGUAAGAUCACAGAUGCUGUACAUUUCUCUAUAUAUGUACAGGGUAUUAGUAAUUAAAGUUCACUUGUUCCAAGUUGUUUACAGCAAUAACUAUUCAUCAGACGAGCAUAAUAUUUUAGAACAUCUUAAUGAGUUAAUUGGAAAGACAUUUAGGGCAAAAAAAAUUAGUUCAAAAACAGGAUGCCAAAAUAUAACAAAAAGAGCACUGCCUUAUCCAAAUUUGCUUUAUGCAAAGAUGAUAAUGUAGAAUGAAAGAAUGGCAGAAUUAUAUCCCAAAUCUGACUUGCAGAUUCCAAUUUCAUUAAAGAAAGUUUAAACAAGUCUGUAAUUAAUAAAGAAGAUGCAAAAAUACUUAAUGAAGCUUGGAGCUGGGCAGGGGAGAAAUAAGUCAACAUGCAAAUGAUAUGUAACAGAUGACAUAGCUGGAAUACAAUCAUGCCAUACAAUCAUAGAUGCUGUGCAUUGUCUACUAAAUUGUAUAUAUUGUAAUGUAGUUUUAAUAUAGUAUAGUUAUAUUUAAUUGUCUAUUGAGCAAGGAAACAAAAGCGCUUUUUAAAUUCCAUUUUUUUAUUGGUCAUUAUAACCUGUUUUUUAUAUCUUGUGUUAAAAAAAGUAAAAG
rnacentral:lncRNA from 1 species